AUAAGUAAUGUGAAUUGCAGAUUUCAGUGAAUCAUCGAAUCUUUGAACGCACCUUGCACCCUGUGGUAUUCCACAGGGUAUGCCCGUUUGAGUAUCAUUAAAUUAUCAACUGCCAAAACCUUUGUGUUCUUGGUGACUUGGUCUUGAGGGUUAUUGCA
rnacentral:rRNA from 1 species